rnacentral:rRNA from 1 species
UGGGGAAUAUUGGACAAUGGGCGAAAGCCUGAUCCAGCCAUGCCGCGUGUGUGAAGAAGGUCUUCGGAUUGUAAAGCACUUUAAGUUGGGAGGAAGGGCAGUUACCUAAUACGUGAUUGUUUUGACGUUACCGACAGAAUAAGCACCGGCUAACUCUGUGCUAGCAGCCGCGGUAAUACAGAGGGUGCAAGCGUUAAUCGGAAUUACUGGGCGUAAAGCGCGCGUAGGUGGUUAGUUAAGUUGGAUGUGAAAUCCCCGGGCUCAACCUGGGAACUGCAUUCAAAACUGACUGACUAGAGUAUGGUAGAGGGUGGUGGAAUUUCCUGUGUAGCGGUGAAAUGCGUAGAUAUAGGAAGGAACACCAGUGGCGAAGGCGACCACCUGGACUGAUACUGACACUGAGGUGCGAAAGCGUGGGGAGCAAACAGGAUUAGAUACCCCUGUAGUCCCUGAGCGGGCUGGCAAGGCGCAU